rnacentral:rRNA from 1 species
CCUACGGGGAGGCAGCAGUGAGGAAUAUUGGUCAAUGGGCGCGAGCCUGAACCAGCCAAGUAGCGUGAAGGAUGACUGCCCUACGGGUUGUAACCUUCUUUUUUAAAGGAAUAAGGUGUGGCCGGUGGGCCUUUUUGUAUUUACUUUUUGAAUAGGGUUCGGCGAACUCCGUGCCAUCAGCCGCGGUAAUACGGAGGUGCCGCGCGUUAUCCGGAUUUUUUGGGUUUAAGGGUAGCGUAGUUGGGUUGUUAAGUCAGUGGUGAAAGUUUGCGGCUCAACCGUAAAAUUGCAUUUGAUACUGGCAGUCUUGAGUACAUUUGAGGUAGGCGGAAUUCGUGGUGUAGCGGUGAAAUGCUUAGAUAUCACGAAGAACUCCGAUUGCGAAGGCAGCUUACUAAACUGCCACUGACAUUGAUGCUCGAAAGGGUGGGUAUCAAACAGGAUUAGAUACCCUUGUAGUC